rnacentral:rRNA from 1 species
UAAGGAAUAUUGGUCAAUGGAGGCAACUCUGAACCAGCCAUGCCGCGUGCAGGAAGACGGCCCUCUGGGUUGUAAACUGCUUUUAUUCGGGAAUAAACCUACUUACGUGUAAGUAGCUGAAUGUACCGUAAGAAUAAGGAUCGGCUAACUCCGUGCCAGCAGCCGCGGUAAUACGGAGGAUCCUAGCGUUAUCCGGAUUUAUUGGGUUUAAAGGGUGCGUAGGCGGCCUGUUAAGUCAGGGGUGAAAGACGGUGGCUCAACCAUCGCAGUGCCCUUGAUACUGAUGGGCUUGAAUGGACUAGAGGUAGGCGGAAUGUGACAAGUAGCGGUGAGAUGCAUAGAUAUGUCACAGAACACCGAUUGCGAAGGCAGCUUACUAUGGUUUUAUUGACGCUGAGGCACGAAAGCGUGGGGAUCGAACA